CACGUAGGGGGCGAGCGUUGUCCGGAAUUACUGGGCGUAAAGGGCGCGCAGGCUGUUAUGCGAGUCUGCUGUGAAAUGUACCGGCUCAACCGGUGCCUUGCGGCGGAUACUGCAUAGCUGGAGUACUGGAGAGGGAAGUGGAAUUCCCGGUGUAGCGGUGAAAUGCGUAGAUAUCAGGAGGAACACCGGUGGCGAAGGCGGGUCUCUGGGCUGUGACUGACACUGAGGAGCGAAAGCAUGGGGAGCGAACAGGGAUUA
rnacentral:rRNA from 1 species